GGGCGAUUAGCUCAGUUGGUUAGAGCACUGCGUUUACACCGCAGGUGUCGGCGGUUCGAAUCCGUCAUCGCCCA
rnacentral:tRNA from 1 species